UUUCCGCCGGACCACGUCGAUCCGGCAGACUCGGGGGUUUCCGGGCUGCACGUUUCGGCACAAUGCCAGCGCACUGCGUCGCGUAUGGCUGUACUAAUUACUUUUACGGCAAAGAGGCGGUGAAGUUUUUUAGAUUUCCGUCAGCAAAACUGUAUCCCGAGAAGCGAGAUGCUUGGAUUGCUGCGGUAAAAAGGAAGAAUGAAGACGGUUGGUUGUGGCAACCGAACGAACAUUCACGCAUUUGCAGCGCGCAUUUUAUUGCAGGGCGGCCGUCAACUUUUAAGAAUCAUCCCGACUACGUGCCAAAUAUGUUCUGCUACAAGAGAACUCCGGGCCAGGCUGGUGCGGAUCGGCACAGCCGUUGGCUGAAAAACCAAGGCGCUGUUUCUACAAAGCAGCAAGGUAGCAAGAACACAGCAAGUCAGCUCCUGGCCACACAGCAACCUACAGCCCCUUCGUUGAACCAAGGGAAGGCCAGUACAGGU